GAUGAAGAGCGCAGCGAAAUGCGAUAAGUAAUGUGAAUUGCAGAAUCCAGUGAAUCAUCGAAUCUUUGAACGCACAUUGCGCCCGCCAGUAUUCUGGCGGGCAUGCCUGUCCGAGCGUCAUUUCAACCAUCAAGCCCCAGGCUUGUGUUGGGGACCUGCGUCCGACGCAGGCCCUGAAAACCAGUGGCGGGCUCGCUGUCCACACCGAGCGUAGUAACUAACCUCGCUACGGGAGCGGCGCGGGCGCCUGCCGUAAAACCCCCAAUUUUCACAAGGUUGACCUCGGAUCAGGUAGGAAUACCCGCUGAACUUAAGCAUAUCAAUAAGCGGAGGA
rnacentral:misc_RNA from 1 species